GAUGAACGCUGGCGGUAUGCUUAACACAUGCAAGUCGAACGGACUCUUCGGAGUUAGUGGCGGACGGGUGAGUAACGCGUGAGAAUCUGGCUUUGGGUUCGGGACAACCACUGGAAACGGUGGCUAAUACCGGAUGUGCCGAGAGGUAAAAGAGAAAUUGCCUGAAGAUGAGCUCGCGUCUGAUUAGCUAGCUGGUGAGGUAAAGGCUCACCAAGGCAGCGAUCAGUAGCUGGUCUGAGAGGAUGACCAGCCACACUGGGACUGAGACACGGCCCAGACUCCUACGGGAGGCAGCAGUGGGGAAUUUUCCGCAAUGGGCGAAAGCCUGACGGAGCAAUACCGCGUGAGGGAAGAAGGCUCUUGGGUUGUAAACCUCUUUUCUUAGGGAAGAACAAAAUGACGGUACCUAAGGAAUCAGCAUCGGCUAACUCCGUG
rnacentral:rRNA from 1 species